GAUGAAGAACGCAGCGAAAUGCGAUAAGUAAUGUGAAUUGCAGAAUUCAGUGAAUCAUCGAAUCUUUGAACGCACAUUGCGCCCGCCAGCAUUCUGGCGGGCAUGCCUGUUCGAGCGUCAUUUCAACCCUCGAGCCCCCCCGGGGGCCUCGGUGUUGGGGGACGGCACACCAGCCGCCCCCGAAAUGCAGUGGCGACCCCGCCGCAGCCUCCCCUGCGUAGUAGCACACACCUCGCACCGGAGCGCGGAGGCGGUCACGCCGUAAAACGCCCAACUUUCUUAGAGUUGACCUCGGAUCAGGUAGGAAUACCCGCUGAACUUAAGCAUAUCAAUAAGCGGGAGGA
rnacentral:misc_RNA from 1 species